AACGAACGCUGGCGGCGUGGAUAAGACAUGCAAGUGGGACGCUAAUCAAUGGGUAGCAAUAUUCGUUGGUUGGAGUCGCGUAAGGGUGCGUAACACGUGGGUAAUUUGCCGCGAAGCUCGGAAUAACUUGCCGAAAGGUAAGCUAAUACCGAAUGUGACUCGUGCUGGGCAUCCAGUAUCAGUCAAAGCCGGGGAUCGUAAGACCUGGCACUUCGCGAUAAGCCCGCGGCCUAUCAGCUAGUUGGUGAGGUAAUGGCUCACCAAGGCUUAGACGGGUAGCUGGUCUUAGAGGACGACCAGCCACACUGGAACUGAGACACGGUCCAGACACCUACGGGUGGCAGCAGUCGAGAAUUUUUCACAAUGGGCGAAAGCCUGAUGGAGCGACGCCGCGUGGGGGAUGAAUGGCUUCGGCCCGUAAACCCCUGUCAUUCGGGAUCAAAUCUGAUAACCUAACACGUUGUUAGUUGAUAGUACUGAAAGAGGAAGGGAC
rnacentral:rRNA from 1 species